rnacentral:rRNA from 1 species
CACCUACGGGUGGCUGCAGUAACGAAUAUUGGGCAAUGGGCGCAAGCCUGACCCAGCAAUGCCGCGUGCAGGAGGAAGCCCCUCGGGGUGUAAACUGCUGUCAGGGUUUAGCAAGCAAAGGGCGUGAAUAGCGCCUGGCGUUGAGCAGACCCAGAGGAAGCCUCGACUAACUCUGUGCCAGCAGUCGCGGUAAGACAGAGGAGGCAAGCGUUGUUCGGAAUCAUUGGGCUUAAAGCGGGUGUAGGCGGCUUGGCAAGUGUUGUGUGAAAGCCCACGGCUCAACCGUGGAACGGCACGGCAAACUGCCAGGCUUGAGGUCGGUAGAGGUGCCUGGAACUCUGGGUGGAGCGGUGAAAUGCGUAGAUAUCCAGAGGAACGCCAGAGGCGAAAGCGGGGCACUGGGCCGAUUCUGACGCUGAGACCCGAAAGCGUGGGGAGCAAACAGGAUUAGAUACCCUGGUAGUCCACGCCGUAAACGAUGCACACUAGACGUCGGGAUCUCUGACGGUGCCGGCGUUGCAGCAAAAGUACUAAGUGUGCCGCCUGGGGAGUACGGCCGCAAGGCUAAAACUCAAAGGAAUUGACGGGGGCUCACACAAGCGGUGGAG